GGCUGGUCCUAAGGUAGUGAGUUAUCUCGCUUGAUUGUUCAUAGUCAGUUACAGAUUGAACUCCUUGUUCUACUCAUUCCCCUCUUCUCACUACUGCACUUGUUAUUUU
rfam:Otolemur garnettii contig034433, whole genome shotgun sequence.